rnacentral:piRNA from 1 species
UAGCCACCCUGUUUAUCUCUUGCUUGC